rnacentral:lncRNA from 1 species
GGAUAACCGGAGGGGACAACAACACUGUAGAAAAGCACUUUUUAAAACUUGGAAUGAAUAUAUUCCAAGUUGGGAAAUGAGCCACUAAACAUCUUAUGCUUGCGUGACUUCUCCAUUUGUCAGAGGCAUCUACUCUGCCUCGAGGAAAUGUAGGAUUGUUAAAGCAAGAAUUUAAAAAGCAAGAACCAGCCGAUGUUCGAGGGUGAUGGGGCCUUGGCAUGCAGAGAUGAGACGGUGGAAGGAACAGUCCCAGCACUGAGACUUGGGUGCCAAGCCCGCACAGCUUAAGAGCAGAGGAGGAGCGUGCUUUUGUCAAAAGCGAUUGGACAUCUGAGGACAAGAACAUGACUGAAACAACCCAUCUCUCUAAUUCACUGUGUUCUACUUCAUCAGCAUCACUCCGAUAUUAUCAUCAUCUUCAUCAUAACCUCCAUCUAAAAAAGAUUUAUUACACAGUGUUUGCGUCUGUGGUCAAUAUAUAAUACAGACAAGACAAGUGCUCCCUUCCUGCUAUAGAUGAGUUUGCAAUUUAUAAAGGAGUGUGGUGCAGAGGAAACACCUUAUGCUUUGAAAUAAAACCAAACUGGG